rnacentral:rRNA from 1 species
GUUGUCCUACGGGACGCAGCAGUAGGGAAUAUUGCUCAAUGGGGGAAACCCUGAAGCAGCAACGCCGCGUGGAGGAUGAAGGUUUUCGGAUCGUAAAGUUCUUUAAUUGGGGACGAAAAAAAUGACGGUACCCAAGGAAUAAGCCCCGGCUAACUACGUGCCAGCAGCCGCGGUAAUACGUAGGGGGCAAGCGUUGUUCGGAAUGACUGGGCGUAAAGGGUGUGUAGGCGGUUU